AUGUUCACUUAAGUAGCACAUGUACUGAAAAUGGAAUGGUACAGAGAAGACUAACAUGGCCCUGCACAAGGAUGACAUGAAAAUUCCUGAAGCAGUACAUAUUUUU
rnacentral:snRNA from 1 species